rnacentral:rRNA from 1 species
AACGAACGCUGGCGGCGUGGAUAAGACAUGCAAGUCGAACGAGAGAAUUGCUAGCUUGCUAAUAAUUCUCUAGUGGCGCACGGGUGAGUAACACGUGAGUAACCUGCCCCCGAGAGCGGGAUAGCCCUGGGAAACUGGGAUUAAUACCGCAUAGUAUCGAAAGAUUAAAGCAGCAAUGCGCUUGGGGAUGGGCUCGCGGCCUAUUAGUUAGUUGGUGAGGUAACGGCUCACCAAGGCGAUGACGGGUAGCCGGUCUGAGAGGAUGUCCGGCCACACUGGAACUGAGACACGGUCCAGACACCUACGGGUGGCAGCAGUCGAGAAUCAUUCACAAUGGGGGAAACCCUGAUGGUGCGACGCCGCGUGGGGGAAUGAAGGUCUUCGGAUUGUAAACCCCUGUCAUGUGGGAGCAAAUUAAAAAGAUAGUACCACAAGAGGAAGAGACGGCUAACUCUGUGCCAGCAGCCGCGGUAAUACAGAGGUCUCAAGCGUUGUUCGGAAUCACUGGGCGUAAAGCGUGCGUAGGCUGUUUCGUAAGUCGUGUGUGAAAGGCGCGGGCUCAACCCGCGGACGGCACAUGAUACUGCGAGACUAGAGUAAUGGAGGGGGAACCGGAAUUCUCGGUGUAGCAGUGAAAUGCGUAGAUAUCGAGAGGAACACUCGUGGCGAAGGCGGGUUCCUGGACAUUAACUGACGCUGAGGCACGAAGGCCAGGGGAGCGAAAGGGAUUAGAUACCCCUGUAGUCCUGGCAGUAAACGGUGCACGCUUGGUGUGCGGGGAAUCGACCCCCUGCGUGCCGGAGCUAACGCGUUAAGCGUGCCGCCUGGGGAGUACGGUCGCAAGAUUAAAACUCAAAGAAAUUGACGGGGACCCGCACAAGCGGUGGAGUAUGUGGCUUAAUUCGAUGCAACGCGAAGAACCUUACCUGGGCUUGACAUGUAAUGAACAACAUGCGAAAGCAUGCGACUCUUCGGAGGCGUUACACAGGUGCUGCAUGGCCGUCGUCAGCUCGUGUCGUGAGAUGUUUGGUUAAGUCCAGCAACGAGCGCAACCCCUGUUGCCAGUUACCAGCACGUGAAGGUGGGGACUCUGGCGAGACUGCCCAGAUCAACUGGGAGGAAGGUGGGGACGACGUCAGGUCAGUAUGGCCCUUAUGCCCAGGGCUGCACACGUACUACAAUGCCCAGUACAGAGGGGGCCGAAGCCGCGAGGCGGAGGAAAUCCUAAAAACUGGGCCCAGUUCGGACUGUAGGCUGCAACCCGCCUACACGAAGCCGGAAUCGCUAGUAAUGGCGCAUCAGCUACGGCGCCGUGAAUACGUUCCCGGGUCU